GGUUGGUAAGACACAGGGAUUGCCCCAGUAACGGCGAGUGAAGCGGCAACAGCUCAAAUUUGAAAUCUGGCUCCUAGAGUCCGAGUUGUAAUUUGUAGAGGAUGCUUUUGAUGCGGUGCCUUCCGAGUUCCCUGGAACGGGACGCCAUAGAGGGUGAGAGCCCCGUCUGGUCGGAUGCCAAAUCUCUGUAAAGCUCCUUCGACGAGUCGAGUAGUUUGGGAAUGCUGCUCUAAAUGGGAGGUAUAUGUCUUCUAAAGCUAAAUAUUGGCCAGAGACCGAUAGCGCACAAGUAGAGUGAUCGAAAGAUGAAAAGCACUUUGAAAAGAGGGUUAAAUAGUACGUGAAAUUGUUGAAAGGGAAGCGCCUAUGACCAGACUUGGGCCCGGUGAAUCAUCCAGCGUUCUCGCUGGUGCACUUUGCCGGGCACAGGCCAGCAUCAGUUUGUCUUGGGGGAAAAAGGCUUUGGGAACGUGGCUCCCUCGGGAGUGUUAUAGACCAUUGCAUAAUACCCUGGGACGGACUGAGGUUCGCGCAUCUGCAAGGAUGCUGGCGUAAUGGUCAUCAGCGACCCGUCUUGAAACACGGACCAAGGAGUCGUCUUCGUAUGCGAGUGUUCGGGUGUAAAACCCCUACGCGUAAUGAAAGUGAACGCAGGUGAGAGCUUCGGCGCAUCAUCGACCGAUCCUGAUGUUCUCGGAUGGAUUUGAGUAAGAGCAUACGGGGCCGGACCCGAAAGAAGGUGAACUAUUCCUGUAUAGGGUGAAGCCAGAGGAAACUCUGGUGGAGGCUCGCAGCGGUUCUGACGUGCGAAUCGAUCGUCAAAUAUGGGAAUGGGGGCGAAAGACUAAUCGAACCUUCUAUUAGCUGGUUUCCUGCCGAAGUUCCCUCGGGGAAAAGGAAAACACC
rnacentral:rRNA from 1 species